rnacentral:rRNA from 1 species
GACGAACCGUGCGAACGUUAUUCGGAAUCACUGGGCUUAAAGCGCGUGUAGGCGGGCCACCACGUCGGCUGCUGAAAUCCCCCGGCUCAACCGGGGAACGGGCACCGAUACGGGUGGCCUGGAGGGGGGUAGGGGGCCUGGAACUUCCGGUGGAGCGGUGAAAUGCGUUGAGAUCGGAAGGAACGCCCGUGGCGAAAGCGAGGCCCUGGACCCUUACUGGACGCUGAGACGGCGAAAGCCAGGGGAGGCGAACGGG